rnacentral:rRNA from 1 species
UGGAGGAAAGCAGGGGAUCGCAAGACCUUGCGCUUUUGGAGUGGCCGAUGCCUGAUUAGCUAGUUGGUGGGGUAAGAGCCUACCAAGGCGACGAUCAGUAGUUGGUCUGAGAGGACGACCAGCCACACUGGGACUGAGACACGGCCCAGACUCCUACGGGAGGCAGCAGUGGGGAAUUUUGGACAAUGGGCGGAAGCCUGAUCCAGCAAUGCCGCGUGAGUGAAGAAGGCCUUCGGGUUGUAAAACUCUUUCAGUCGAGAAGAAAAGGUUGUGACUAAUAAUCGCAACUUAUGACGGUAUCGACAGAAGAAGCACCGGCUAACUACGUGCCAGCAGCCGCGGCAAUACGUAGGGUGCGAGCGUUAAUCGGAAUUACUGGGCGUAAAGGGUGCGCAGGCGGCUCUGUAAGUCAGAUGUGA